AGCUACUUUGUGAUUAGAUUUUGGGGUUCAUAGAGAACGGUAAGAGAAAUGCAGACAUCCAAUGGUCAAAAGAUACAGGAAGAAGAAGAUGGUGUUAUCAGAUUGAAGGGUCCAACGAUGGUGUAAUUUCACGAUCGAAUCAACGAUUUACCAAAGGUAAAAUAUACACAUCUAUAACAUUUCGGUCUUUAUUUCUUUUGAAUCGAUGAUAAUUUUUCUUUCUUUUUAUCCAUCGAUAUUGUACAUUUAAAGAAAAAUGCUAAUCACAAUUUGAGAAAUUUUGUAUAAAAAAAAAAAAAAAAGUAGCAUUCUCAUUAGAAUGACAUUGAAAAUCAUGGUUAAUUAAGUUGAUUGGAACUCCAUUUUUUUUAUCUGCACCCAUAUAGUACUCGUACUGGUUCAUUGUGCUCACGCUGUUACAUUGCUUCUUCCAGUAAAACCUAAAGCCUUCACUUCUGAGCAACUACUUCCAGAAGGAUCGACUACGAAGCUGCAGAGAUCUUGAAGGCGGAAACUGAGAAGGCCGCUGUCGAGUCGCUGAGAAUCAAGACGAAAGACUUCUCAUUCCCUAGCUUUCCAGGAUACUUGUCCGACUCUGACCCUUUCAUUUCAGAAGCUAGCCUUUCUAUGAAGAACAUUGUGUGUCCACGCCAAAAAUGCCCCUGGAAACCGCUCUUACCUUGACCAGGCUCACUGCUUGAAGAAUUUUGGGCACUGGUAAGUAGCGGAGUAGAGAUGAGAAAUGUGCCUGUAAAUAGGGCCGGAUCUGAGAUUUUCGGACCUGAAUCGAACUCUAAAAAAUAUGGUCAAUUACAUAGAAGUCCACUUUGAGACAUUUUAUCCUAUAGAGGUCCACCCAAAUAUUUUUACUCACAUAAGUCCAUCCAAGCUUAAAUAAAGGUAUUGAAGUUUAACUAAAUUACAGACUGCCAUCCAACCAAAAAAUUAGAUUUUCUCUUAUAUUUACAAAAAUGUCACUAAUGUAAAAAGUCAACAACCACUCUCCUUCCCGGAAAAGUCUCCGAUAGACCUCCGGCGAGGUCUCCAACGGACUCCGGCCGACCUCCGGUGAUGUCUCCAACCAACUUCCGACGAGGUUUCCAAUAGUUACGAAAGCUACUACCGCCAGCAAGAAAAGAUACUACCACCAGCAAGAAAAGCUAUUAUCCCUAGUUAGAAAAGCUACUACCACCGACUGCAAAAGCUACUACCUCUAGCAACAAAAGCUAUUAUCCUUAGCUAUAAAAACUAUUACAACCAACAACAAAAGCUACUACCACUUACUACAAAAGCUACUAUUGCCGCAAACAAAAUCUACUAACAACAAAAGCUACUACAACCGGCAACAAAAGCUACUACAACCAACAACAAAAGCUAUUAUUGCAACAAAAGCUACUACCGUUAGCAACAAAAGCUACUACCGUUAGCAACAAAAGCUACUACAGUCAGCAAUCAAACCUACUACUGCCAGUAACAAAAGCACCACUUCCGGUAACAAAAGCUACUACUUCCGGCAACAAAAACUACUACCUCUGGCAACAAAAGCUANNN
rnacentral:lncRNA from 1 species